UUGCCCUUAACAAAAAUGGCGACAAAACUUCCUGUUCGGGGCUUUUGCCUUCAACAAAAAUGGUGCUUACGGUACAGGUUCCCUGACACUUUGGAGUCCGGUUGCAGUUUUUUUUUUUUUUUUCCUUAAGAUACGUGUUUGCAGACGGGGAGAUGGAGGCUAGAGACAAGCAAGUGCUUCGCUCCCUUCGCCUCGAGCUGGGUGCAGAGGUCCUGGUGGAGGGACUGGUCCUCCAGUAUCUUUACCAGGAAGGGGUCUUGACAGAAAGCCAUGUUCAAGAAAUUAAAGCUCAAGCCACAGGCCUCCGGAAAACAAUGCUGCUGCUGGAUAUCCUACCUACCAGGGGUCCUAAAGCAUUCGAUGCCUUCCUAGAUUCCCUGCAAGAAUUCCCCUGGGUAAGGGAGAAACUGGAGAAGGCAAGAGAAGAAGCCAUGGUUGAGCUGCCUGCAGAUGACCGGUUGGCUGGAAUCCCCCCCCACAUCCUCCACAGCUCCCCUUCCGACCAGCAGAUCAACCAGCUGGCCCAGAGGCUGGGCCCCGAGUGGGAGCCCGUGGUGCUGUCUCUGGGGCUGUCCCAGGUUGACAUCUACCGCUGUAAGGCCAACCAUCCCCACAAUGUUCAGUCCCAGAUGGUGGAGGCCUUGGUUCGCUGGAGGCAGCGCUUCGGGAAGCAGGCCACCUUCCAGAGCCUGCUCAGGGGUCUCCAGGCCGUGGACGUGGACCCCUCGGUGCUCCAGCACAUGUUGGGAUGAUGGCGCCCCGUCAGCACCUGGGGAGUCCAUCCCCUAGUCUCGUGUGCCGAAUCCUGACUCUCACCCAGUGCAGCAAGAUGCCUUCUCCACUGUGGCAUGUGAUCCACUCAGCGCAGUGUUCUCUUCCUACAAUUUUACAUUCUGUCUCUAGCCAGUGCUAUUUCGGGUGUCGGAUUACACUGUUGAUGGAGAAUAUUUGUGGAAAAUAUCUGCUCUGCCAAGAUGUUUGUAUCCCCAUUGCCGCCAGAAUUCAUAUGUUGAAAUCUUAACCCCCAAAGGUGAGGGAAUUAGGAGAUGAGGCCUUUGGGAGGGAUGAGGUCAUAAGAUGGCGCCCUCAUGGAAGUGGCCCCACAGAGCCUCUUGCAGCCCGUGAGGACACAGUGAGAAGGCUCCAGCUAUGAACGAGGAGAGGACCUUCACCAGAACGCGACCAUGUUGGCUUCUUGAUCUUGCAUUUCCCAGCCUCCAGAACUAUGAGCUGUAAGUUCUUGUUGUUUAUAAGCUACCCAGUCUGUAGUGUUUUGUGAUAGCAGCCCUAACAGACAAUAUCAAAUGGGCUGGAUUAGGUCAUAUAACCUCCCUCUUGUCAGCUUCUAGGAGAUGAAUUGACUUAAUCAGACUUAGCCGAUACCAUGGUCCUUGGCAUGACUUAAUGGCUCAUUGUGGAUUCUGGGAGAAGACCGAGUGCCUACAAAUGAAGUAAGUAAGCCUACUCGUAGACUGGUGGUGGACUUGGUGCUCCUGGCCAUGUCAAAGCCAAGGAUGAGGGGGCUCUGCCUAGGGAAUAUUUCUUUGAAGGACCAGAAUGUCUGUAAUAGGUAGUGGUUCUUAUCCAUUCAGGGGGCAGGGAUCCCUUUAAGAAUGUGAGAAGACCGUGGAGUCAUUCUUUAGAAAAGUGCACACGCAUGCACGUGCGCACAAACACACACACCCCAUUUGGCAUAUAAUUUUUAGGGGAUUCCCAGUACACCUGAAUCCAAGUUGCUCACCCCAAGAACCCUAAGCCUGUAGGUUAUAAAGGGGCACCAGACCUCACUAGCAUCUAAGCCUGACUGAUCAGUUUUUGGCUUUGUACGGUAUUUGGAGGGCUUGUGUCCAACAGAAUGGCGCUAAGUGUUUCUGUGGGGUUGCACAAGAAUGUAAACUCUGUUAUGAAGGACUAACCAAGGUAUUGGAAUAAAGUUGAAGCCAUUUAUCUAAACCGUGAUCUUUAUACAGCUGACCACAGAUCUUCCGCCCUAUAGGAGGGCAGGCUGGUGGACCUCUUGGACCCGCCUCUCGGAAAGGUGUCGUUCCCAGGAGCACUCUCUAAUCACCUUCCUGCCCACCCAGCUCCAGCUUAGAAUCAGCUUCCAGGCGCACGCAUCCUGUGACGUGGAGGUGGUGAGCAGUGGUCAGGUUCUGAUUACAUUGUGAAGGUUUUCAAUAUUUGUUGAAAGAGUGAAUCAACAGAUACUGGGCCACAGUGUUCCUACACUCCAGGUCCAGAUCCUCAGCUGUUCCCAGGGGCAGCAGCAGAUGCUGAAACAGAACUUCCCUAGCCCUAGCCAGGGGGUCCGGCUACAGUUCUCAGCACAGGAAGAGCUCUUCCAGAACAGGUUAUACAUUAAAAUAACUGAAGACACACAUUCAAGAAAUAGAAACACAAGAGGGAACUUUGAAUCAUUUAUUGCUGCCUAUUCUUUGCAGAGAGAUAAGAAAACUGAGGCCCAAGGUUUCUGUGACUUGCCUGGCAUCACACAGCUCAAAUGGAGACCAAAUUCUGCGAUUCUGUCUGUCUCUUUCUGGCAUCACCCUGAAAAGGCCCCCUUCUCCUUUCCUGUAUACCAGUGGAUCUCAACCAACGGCAACUUUACCUCUCAGGGGACGUUUGGAAAUGUCUGGAGGUAUUUUUGGUUGACACAACUGGCAGAGGAGGGCACAGGUACAGGUGCUACUGGCAUCCAGUAGGCGGAAGCCAAGGAUGCUGCUAUACAUCCGACGGUGCACAGACUGCUCCCACAGAGAAGUAUCUGGCCCUAAAGGUUAAUAGUGCAGAGGCAGAAAAGCCAAGGUCGGGACUGCGCCCCACAUCAGAUGGAAGUUCCAACCUCUGGGAGUUGCCAGGGCUCCUCUGCCCAGCGACAGGCUUGGCCUCUCUCCCGAGGCUGCCACAAGAGCUGAAGCCACUGUCUAGAAUGCCCUUUGGCAGCGGGCAAGUGUCCCCUGUGGAGUUUCCUGCGGGACAGGCAGUGCAUCAGCUGGAGCUGCUGUGUGUUAUAAUUUAUAGUCGCAGGACGCCUGUCUUCAUUUAGCAGCAAGCUCGCUGGCAGCUGCCCUGCCAGGGAGGAAGUGAGUCCCGCAGAGGCCCGCAGCACCCCCCACAGCUGACAGCCCGUGGUAUUUGGGGACGGCUGUUGCUCGGAGGCACCUGGGAAUAGGCCAGGGUGGAGAUGGCGCUGAGCACGUGGUCUCCCCUUCCGACCCAUCCGUCAGCAGCGGCCCCUGCCAGAAGAUGGCCUAUUGAACAUUUCCAGGAAUAGCACUGCCAAGCCUGUCAACUGCUUUCUUGGAAAUACACUCAAUAAGGAUGGCGGGCCUCCAGCAGGGAGAGCAGAAAGCCCGGCCUGGACCACGCCACUCAGAAACGGCAGGGCCUGGCUGCAGGCCCUGGCAGUGCCUUGGGGAAGAGGAGCUGUAGCUUCUGGAGUCGUUUAAAAACGUUCUCGGCGUGGAGGGGAGAUGACCACACCUUUCAGGAGGUCGGGCCCUGCUGACCUCAUGCAACCCCGUGACCUUUAAAUGCCUGCUGUGUUUGUUCAGCCACCAGCGGACUGGAAGGCUAUCCGGCUUGGAGGCCAGGUAUUAACUAGGUAUUAACUGUCAGCAGUGAUUGACCUCAGUGUCAUCUGGGGAGCCUUGGCCAUCACUCCUUGUGUUGUAAGCUUCACUCUCAAAUAGCGCCAAAGGAACAUAAGAAAGGGCGAGUAUUCCCCACUCCACCCCACCAACCCCACGCACACUGUGACUGUGGGGAUACAGCAAAUAAGAGGCAAAGAUGUGAUAACGAGAGAAAAAUCUUAUAAGCCACCCUUCCCCUCACCCCCUGCAGAAGUAACCUUCCCCCUCACAGAGGCCUGACAUUCCUGUUGAAAUUUGACCACUUGGAACUCUUUGCUCUCUGAGCUACGGCCUUCUCCAGCCUCUGGGGGGGUUGCCCAGGGGUUGCCAGGCUUGGGGAUGCCCUAAGAAGGCCAGCUGCCUUCAAAGAAAACUCCUUAAAGAUGUAGGCAUUAUAAAAAAGCAAGAAAUCAAAAACCGCUAUGUGGAGGGUUCAGGGAAUAUUGGUUCCUCACCUUUUAAAAAUAAUAAUAGCGUUAUGAAGUUUACCACAGAGCAAGUAUGGGACAUCUAUUUCAUUUCUAAAAGCCACUGAUUCACAGGACAAACAUUAUUCGAGACCCACACUGACCUACAAUUAGUUGGUGGUAGGGCUGCCAAAUACACUAUCAGAUGCCCAAGUAAAUUUAAAGUUCAGAAAAACAACAAAUAAUCUUUUUGGUAUAAGUUUAUCUACAAGUCCAAUUUACCUGGGCACUGUGUUUUUAUUUGUUAAAUCUGGUCACUUCUAUUUGGGGGGAUAAAUUGUCCUAGUUGUUAAUAACAGGGAACAGCAAUACAGAUUCAACACAUAUGAAAGAUCAUAGCUGUUAGAGGAGGAAAGCAGGGAAGGAGGAGGGUAACAAGGAAGGGGAGAGGAAGAUCAAGAAGAAAGGGAGAUAGGCAUAGUGAAGGAGAAAGAAACUAAGUGAAAGAGAAACAGGAAGUACUGAGGAAGGAUGAAAACAGGAACAUCUCAGAAAGACCUAAAAUGCUGAGACAGUUCACAGGAUGCUGUUUCCCUGGGAAAUGCCGUUUCCUUAGCUAAACACUGUUCCUGUAUCUUUUGCUGCUCUUUGUUCUAUCUGGUAAAACCCACAGUGACCACUAGGGAGUAAUGAGUCCUCAAGCUAUGAUGGCAGCAUCUAGGCCAAUAUUACCCUGGAGGCAGGUUGAAACCAAACCUAAGACUAUAUCCAACCCUAAGACCUGUUCCCCCAUCCACUCACCCUACUCACCCGCACCCACGUUGCUGUCAUCAGAGGAUUGUGGAUUUUCAAGGAAUUGGCAUCUGAACAAUAUAACGGAGCUGGUUGUCAUGAUUCUAUGGAACUUUUUUGUUGUUGACGAUGAUUCGGAAAAUCAGUAGCUUCUUUUGCCUCGGGGUGAAAGUGGUGAUGAGCAGGGCGUGCAUGCAGACAGCAGAGAUUUCCUGAGUUGUUAAUCCCCUUGUUCUCUCACCUGCAGAUAGGAGGCCAGGUUGGCCUGACCCAAAGAGAGAAGCCUUAAUAGGCUUCUAGGGGGAUGAGAGAGGCAUGCCUCCUAGGGAAAAGCUGUCAUGGUGGUGGUGGUGGGAUGGAGGGGACCCUGCUUUGGAGCCCCCCCAUCCCACAUGUAUCCUGGGGAAUGGAAAUGGGGCUGCCCUCGGUUACCUGGGCUGCGCUAUUAGAUGUGUGAUACCAGAGCAAGGGAAUAGGUCUCCCCAUAAACUCCAGUGAGGAGCAGAAGAGACUGACCAGUGGCCCACCGUAUUGUGACUCUAUUCCAGACAGCUGCUCAGACUGUGGCCACACGGGAUGUUGUCAUUACAACAGUAGCUGACACCCGGCAAGCAUCUCCUCUGGGCCAGACAUGUGGGAGGUGCUUUAUAAACACUGUCCCAGCUGGCCUUCAACAACUGCCUGAUGUUGUAGGGAUACUAUUAUCUUUCAUAUUACUAUUUCCCUAAUUUAAGAGAUAGAGAAAUCACGACCGCAAAAAGUUAAGUUGCUGUUUCAAAGUCAACUGAUUAGUGAGUGUUCGGGCUGAGAUUUGCCUCCAGUCCGCCUAACUCCCAGCUCAGGAUUCAUCCCCGUCCCUCCCGUCAGACUGCAGAGGUCAAAUCCCAGCUCCAUUACUUACUAGCUGCAUGACCUUGGGUAAGUUAUUUAAUCUCUCUGUGCAACUCCUUCGUCAUCUAUAAAACGGGGGUAAAAAUAGUAUCCAGCCCAUGGAGUUGCUGUGAAAAUUUAAUGAGUUUGUGUCAAGCACUGAGAACCCAGUACUUUACUUCCCUUACUUCAUCCACUCCUCUAACAAUUCUCGAAGUAGUUAAUAUUAUUAUCCUUCUUUACAUGUGAGGAAACGGAGGCCCAGAGGGCUAAUUAGCUUGGUCAAGGUCAGUAAGUGGGACAGCUGAGAUUCAAACCCAGACAGACUGAUCCAUAGUCCAUACUUAUAGAUUCUGCCUCUGUACACUUUUAUGUGUUCAUUUCAUAGUUUCUGCCUUUUAGAACUGGGACGUUGUCAGAUGGCAUUUUUGUAUACUUACACCUGUGGACAAGGUCCAGGAUCUUCCUUAAAGCUACCAAAUACAUAUCCUUCAUAGUAGAAUUGCUCAGAAGAUUCAGCUUUUCUGAAUUUGCUCUCUAUCUCUGCUUGUUGAUAAUGACUCUAGUCGUCAGGCUAGGCUAGGCUACAGCGCAGUAACAAAUAAACCCUGAAAUCUCAAUGCUGUUAUCACAACAAAGGUUUAUUUCUCCCUCACAGAAAGCCUAAGGAACUUUCCUCUCUGCAUUGACCUUGUGGCUCCACACAGACAUGCAAGGUCACAGCCAAAUGAGACGGAAGAAGUGGAGGAGAUACUCCCAUUAACAUCCACGGUCUGGUCGUGCCUCUUCUACUCACAGUCCUUUGUGCAGGAUAGUAACAUGGCCUCAACCCCUGCAAGCGAGGAGGGGAGGGGAGCACAUGGAUUUUCCCUUCCCAGAGCUGUGGUGGUCUCUACCUCCAUGAAUAAACCCAGCUCCUAGCCUCAAGUUAAGAACAACUGCUAGCAACUUUAUUAACCAGGUUGUGAGAACCCCUUUCUUAUUAAUUAUAGUCAUGUAUUUACUUGAAUUGAAACCUCUUCAUUUGUUCAUUCAAUAAAUAUUUAUUGAAUGUUCCCUCUCUACCAGUAUUUUUAGGCCCCCAGGAAUAUAUCAGUAAAUGAAACAGAAUAAAGCCACUACUUUUGUAGAACUAGCAUUCCAGUGGGGAAUGGGAGAGGAUAGACACUUAACCCAAAAAAUAAGAAGGUGGUAUAAUAUAUUAGGUGUUGAUAUGUGCAAGGGAGAAAGAUAAAACACGGAAGAGGGGAUCAAGGUGUGAGUGUGUGUAUGUGUGCAUUGAGGGGAUGAUUUUAAAUAGGGGGGCUAGGGAAGGCCUUCCUGAGAAGGUAACAUUUGAGCAGACAUCCAAAGAAUGCAAGAGGGCUCUGGGGUGAAAGCAUUCUAAGAAGAGGAAGUAACUGGCGCAAAGGCCCUGAGGCAGGGGACUGCCUGACGUGUCAGAGGACGGCCCUGUGGCUGAGACGGUCGGAGAGCAGUAGAAGACGAGAUCAGAAAGGGGAUGGGGUGGGAGGUACUGACCCUUGAGGACCUUGUGCUUUUACUCCUGCUUAAAAACCUCCAUUUUCUCCUCCUUGUCCUAAGAACCUGGUCCUGGCUCCUCCCCCACCUCCCAACACACCCAGUGUUCUUCUCUCAGUCCCCCUGUGGCAGUGCCUCUCAGACUUGAGGGGCAUCAGGACCACCUGGGGGGAGUGUUAAAUCAGAUUUUCCAUAGUGGGGCCUGAGAAUCUGCCAUUCUGCUGCUGGUACAGGGACCACCCUUUGAGAAGCACAGCCCUAGUGUGACAAGCUCUCUCUUGCUUUUGGGCUUUUCUACUUAUUUCCUCAGGAAAUCUUGCCUGGAUUCCUGGACAGCACCAACUGCGUAAUUUGUGAGGUCCAAGGCAACAUGAAAAUACAGACCUCUUGUUCGAAAAGCAGGGAAAAAAGGUUCAGUUACAGGUAAAAUAUAAAGCUUUUCCUAUAUUAUUUAUAAUAAUUUUAUUUAUAAAAUGUGAUAAGUGUAGUGAUACAUGAGUAACAAUACAAAUGUUUUUUUUUUUAGAUGUUGGGGGUAGGAGUUUAUUAAUUAAUUUUUUUAUUUAUUUUUGCUGUGUUGGGUCUUCGUUUCUGUGUGAGGGCUUUCUCUAGUUGUGGCGAGCGGGGGCCACUCUUCAUAGUGGUGCGUGGGCCUCUCACUAUCGUGGCCUCUCUUGUUGCGGAGCACAGGCUCCAGACGCGCAGGCUCAGCGGCCAUGGCUCACGGGCCUAGUUGCUCCAUGGCAUGUGGGAUCUUCCCAGACCAGGGCUCGAACCCGUGUCCCCUGCAUUAGCAGGCAGACUCUCAACCACUGUGCCACCAGGGAAGCCCACAAAUGGUUUUUUAAUGGUAAAACAUAUUUUUGAUGUCAUAAUUUUAUAUAAUACAAUGAAUAAUACUGAUUAAUAUGAUACCGAGAUUCUUCUGGUUUGCUUUCCUACAUAUGCAUUCAUUAGGUCAUAAAAAUGUGUACUUUUAAUAACUUAAUUUUCAAUUUAUAUAAUUGAAAGCAAUGUCAUUUGCUGUUGGCAAAUGUAAAAUUACAAAUAUUUUUUGAUAACUUUAAUUUUGACAAUUAAAAUCUACUAAUGCAAUUGUUACCAGAGCAGAUAAGAGAGUUUUAUAGGCUAUGACAACAUUGGGAUACACAUUUGGUAAAUUAUUUUGAAAUAUAAGUUUCAGUACAUCUAGAGGUGAUGAUUCCCGUGGAACUAUUUUCUACAGAGUUAACGCUUUAUACAAAUCAGUUUCAUGUAAUUCUGAAUUUAAUAUGCAAAUUUAUAUUAUUUAUAAAUAAUUAAAUUAGUGCUAUAUACAUAUAGCAUUUAUAUUACCUAAUCAGUUAAUUAUAUGAUUUUUAUACACAAAUUUAAUGUUAGUUAGUAUUUUCUGACAGUUCCUGCAACUUGUGAAAAUCUAUAAGAAACCAAAGUGGCUUCAUGAUUUUUAUAUAAUUCAAAAUGCCUGAUAUGCAUUCUAUCACUGUAUCUUCAAAUAUAAGAAAAUUCAUUUACAUAUUGUCUUCCUUGUUAAUUGUUUAUCUGAAACAUUGUGUGAAGGCAGUGUUCUAUUCUAUUGAAUGGAACAAUCUUUACAUUUAAUUUCUAUUUCUGAGCCCAUGUAUGUUUGGUUUGCAAUGCUGUAACAGUUUUCAAAACCAGAAAUUCUAAAUUCUUUGAAGAAUUUUAAUAAGGCCCUGACAUGCUUUAUUGCAAUGUCAAUGUGUACACCCUUAAUUUGUAAUAAUUUACUGACAAGCUUUACCACCUGAGUGCCUGAGUGUCCUGGUGCUCAUAUUAGAGAGUUAAUAUUUGUGCAGAUGCCACAGGGACAGGCUCUGGGGAGAAACGGGUUAGCCAAUCUCCCACCAUGCGUCCCAGCACUGCCCCUGGAACCACUCCACUCUCCCACGGCUGCCACUGCUGCCACCACCACUGCAUCUGCUAUUGCUGCUGCCGCCAUCAACCAAUCUGGGUCCAGGUCCCAGGCAGGGCUGCCCUCGUUGCUCCAAGGGGCUCUGGACAGCCCCAGGUGUGCACAUGCUCACCAGAAGGCCAGGCCGGGUGCUUGGUGCUGCCCGCUGCCAUGCCUGUGUGCUCCAGCCCCCACGUGUGUGCACUAAUGCCUGGCACAGCAGCUCUGCUCACACACGUGCUCCAUUGUCCUUUCUGACUUCACAAGUUCAAAUAUAACAUAAUUAAGAAUUUCAAGACUCUGACAACAGAGCAUUAAACCAAGCACGUUGUCCCUUCUGAGUGGCCCUGCUUGCACACCCACAAAGUUGGUCCUGUUCCUGGGCUAAGUGUCUUACCCUAGUUUUGCCCAUAGAGCAUCUUAUAUUAUUCUCUAACAGUGUGUCAUCCUAAAUUAUUUAAUGUCUGUUUUCCCUGCUAGACAGGAUCAGCAAACUAUGACCCAUUGGCUGAAUCCUGCCUGCUGCUUGUUUUUGUAAUGAAGUUUUAUUGGAACAUAAAAACUCAUUUAUUUCGGUGUUGUCUGUGGCUGCUUUCAUAUUACAAGGAAGAGUUGAGUAAUGCAACAAGGAAUGUUUGGCCCAGGAAGCUUAAAACAUUUGCUGUCGGUCCUUUAUAGAAUUCUACACUAGACUGUAAGAUCCCUGAAGGCAGGAAUCAGGUCUGUCUAGAACAGUGCCAGGCAUAUAGAAAAUGCUCAGUCAAUACUUGUUGAAAAACAAAAGAAUUAAAAAAUGAAUACAUAGAGAGCCUAGUAUUUUUUGAAGUAAUUUAUCUUAAAGAAAACCAUGUACAUUUUGUUUGAUUUCAUUUUUUGUUUUCGUAUAAAAAUUGUGUCUAAAGUUACUUGCCACACCGUGAAAUUGACUCUCCAGGGAAAUGUAAGGUGUUUGUCUUGUAGUUGGCAUACCCUCCUGACAUGUUGCUAUACUCCUUAGUCUAAAGAAGCACAGGCAUUGAAAAUCCAUCAUUCCUCAUUAAAUAAUAUUUAUUGAGCAAGGCGUGGGGCUAAGCGUUACGACAGGAGUGAUAAUAAUUUGCACUUGUAUCUUACCCAAGAGAAUUUUACAGGCUAUCGACCAAAGGAGAAAAGACUUGCAAAUAAUAUAUUAUAUACACAAGCAACUAUGAUAAAUAGUGUUCAGUGCAGAAGGAAAUUUCUGGAUCAAGUGCUAUCAUCUUUCAGAGUCAGGACACGUUCCUUUUGACUGUGAAAUCAGAAGAAACUUCUCACCAGGCAUUCUUUUGGUCUCAGAUCCAAUCCCUGUUCUUUUUCUGCUUUGCUCUGCACCACAAGGAGCUAACUCCUGCAAACUUUAUUUCCCUGGCUCCCCUGCCAACUGAUUCCAGCUGAGUCCCUUCGGUGGGUGGCCACAGAGAAAGACCAGAUGACUGGAGGAAGGGGGAGGAACCAGGGUAUUUCUCCUCACUCUCUGAGCCUCAGUUUUCUCACCUAUACAAUGAAAAAACCAAUAGAGUAUUUUCACAGGGUUUCUAUGAGAAAUAAGACAAGGCAUGCAAAAUGCUUAGCAUGAUACCUUAUAUAUAAAAUAAACAUUCAAGGAGUAGAUCUAUUAUGGCUUUUAGCCUUGCUUAGGUAAGUGGAAAGAGUGCAGUGAUCAAUAAGUGAUGUCUGCCAAGAGUGAAGGGUUGGGGGGUAGUGCUAUGUGAGAGGAAUAUUUACCCAACCCUGAUCUCUUGGAGCUGUAUUGUGGAGAUAGAAUUGAGAGGACCUGGCAAAUGGAUUGACAGACUGGUAAGGUAUUGGGAGAAAUCGAAAAACUGGGAUAGUGAUACCAAAAGUAGACAUAGGCAAUGAAUAAGAAAAAGUAGGUUUGGGAGAGAGGAUUAUGAAUUCAUUUUUAGAUAAGGUGUUGUUGGGCUUUUUCCAAUUACCAAAAAACCAAAACCCCAAAACAAAAAAACAAAAAAAUGGUACACUUAAGAACACCACAAGAGAUGGGAGAUUUUGAUAGAAAUACACGUGUGCAGUGAGUUAGCAGAGAAAACCAUCUCAGCAGCUACACGCUCAGACCUAAUGGACAACUGGAAAACUAUGCGGGAGACCACAGCAAUUCCAGUUACUAUAGUCUUCUCUUAAGAGGAGAAACCAUUGUUCUUUGCUUACUGAGUCUUCCCUGCUCAGGACUCUCUCUGCUUCUGGUUCUGUCUCUAGAUUUCCUCUUCCUGCCUUUGUGCUGUGGUUAUAUUCUUUGCAUCCAGCAUUCAAGAUGAUCAGACUGCAUAUUUACCAUUUAGUGUGGGGCUUCCCAACUAGGAUGCAUUCUCAGCUCAGACCACCUCACAGUUUCCUUAGGUCUGGCCCAUAUUGGAUGUCUUUGGCUUGGAGUGGCAGCUGUGGCCAGCAUAGCAGUCACCUGACAAGGUGUGUCAAAGUCCACCCUCUCAGGAGCUGUGUAACUAGCUGUGAAACCAGUAGGUUUUAUGGUGUAUACAUGGUGAGUGAGCUGGAGAUGUCAUUGAGAUCUCCAUGGAGCUGAAAGUAAGAUUGGGUCAUGUUGAGAGAGCACUGAGGAGACUUAAUUACCUCUAAUGUUAUAUAUCCCAUGCAAAUUCAAUCAUACAAGAUCAAAAUCUGUCCAAGGUUCAGGGCAAAGAAGUCAGAAAUUAAAAAGAUGGUUCUUCCAAUGGAAUCCAGAAAGUUAGACAAUUUGCAGAGGAAGGGAUUUUCUUACUGUCGUUUAUAGGGACUUCACCAAUUUUUUUUCUUUUUUUUUUUUUUUUGGCCAUGCCGCAUGGCAUGUGGGAC